ACCCUGACUGAGACACUGGCAAACGUCCUACGUCGAUGUCCGACUGAUCUGAUCAGGAAAGCCCAAGUUUACCAAAAGUUUAUCCAACUUCUCUCCAAGCAACCAACAGCUUCUCUGAAAGAAAGAAUUGCUGUAGAGAGAGCCAAGAGGAGAAGCCCUUCAGGAAGUUCUGAGGCGAGCAGCCAAAGACCUUCCCCUCUACACGAGGACCAUUUCCGUUACAAUCCGAAAUUGUGACAGAUGCCAACUUAUAAAACCAGACCGCUGCCAUCACUGUUCCGUCUCUGAUAAAUGUAUUUUGAAGAUGGAUCAUCAUUGCCCAUGGGUGAACAAUUGUGUUGGAUUUUCAAAUUAUAAAUUCUUCCUCCUUUUCUUGG